UGCUAAAAGCAAUUUUGCAGUCUCGG
rnacentral:piRNA from 1 species